UUAAAAAUUUGGUCCCUGCUCUCCAAUGAAAUGCACGCAGGUAUUCCAACAUCUUCGUUCUUCUUAUCAAUGUGCUUCGCCGACAAAUCGAAAAGCAAAACAUUCUUAAUAGCCCCCAAAAAAUCACCACUCGCUCCUCUUCCUUCACCGGUGCUUCCCGCAACCGGCGUAAUGAGAAUACGUAUUCUCAUCGAUACGACUGAUUGGGGGCUUCGCCGGCCGCGACGGAAGGAUAAUGGAUUGGAACCUGAUUCCCACUUCCCAAAUUCUAUCCAUAUCUCCAGUAAUUCGAUUUCAUGUACUUCCGAUUUGUGGCUAUGUAUACGUAACUGUUUGGAUUUUCGCAUCUUCAUUGGGAAAUUAGUUGCUAGAGUUUCAAAUCCCUAUUUCUUCUUAAAUAGGUUUCAUAGAUGGACCUUUUGUUCUUCAUUGGAACAGAUGUGGAAUAUUGCCUGACACCCAAUUGCAAAGAACGUCAUCGGAGAUGAUGAAGUGUGUGUGGAUUAGGUUUCCACCGAUACUCAUCAUUUUCCCACCCACCUCCACUGCGUCAAUUGAAAACCCUUCACCGGCUUCCAAAUUCCUACUGCUUUUGCAGAAAACUACCGCCGAACGAUGUCGGAACUUCCCCAAUUUCACCUCCUGUUUGUUAUCUUCGGUGAAGAUGGUUGUACAGGGAAGCCAUCUGGGCCAAGCAAUCACCUACUUCGGUGUUUUAUGAUUGUUUUGUUGUUUUUGGUUCCAUAUUUUCCAUAUGAAUGUCCUUGUGCUCAUAACAAAUUUGCUACUUUCAGCUUAUCAAUGAAUCACGUGCCAAGUCAUUGUUGAAGCCACAAAUUACUAUAUUCAGUGUGUUCUGAUCAAACGACGGAAGUGAAACCGGAGGAGAUGGUAAGGAAUCUAAGAUCGUGGGAUAUGAAACUUUGUAGCCAUCUGUGAACAAAAAACUUAUAUCAUUCAAGUUUUAGGAAGAAAGCCGGAGGAUUUCCGGAGCAGCAUCAGACAGAGAUUUCUUGCGCAGAUUAUCACCAGCUACUCGUUCAAGUUAUCAGUUGAAAGAUACCGAUGACAGAUACCGAUUGAAAGACAACGAUGACAGUUACCAGUUGAAAGAUACCGAUGAAAUCAUAUGGUAUGUGGUAUGAUGGGGGAACUCACUAAGCUUUGUGCUUACAGUUUCAGUUUUGGUUUCAAGUACCUUUUUGUCUAAGGGGAAGGAGCCGACAGUGUCGCGGUGCAUCACACUUUUACACAUGAUUUUCGCAAUGAGCUUCUGGGAUUGUACUUUGAUUUCCAUCACUUAUGAUGUUAUGAUUUUGAGACACGACAUUGUGGUUUAAACCUGAUGUAAUAUUGACAAUGUUUUGGUAACAUAUUUUAUGAUUUACUUAAUUUAAAAAUGAAAA